CCCUUAGAUGUUCUGGGCCGCACGCGCGCUACACUGAUGCAUUCAACGAGUCUAAAACCUGCUCUGAUAGGGGUGGGUAAUCUUUUGAAUGUGCAUCGUGAUUGGGAUAGAUGAUUGCAAUUUUUCAUCUUCAACGAGGAAUGCCUAGUAAACGCAAGUCAUCAGCUUGCAUUGAUUACGUCCCUGCCCUUUGUACACACCGCCCGUCGCUACUACUGAUUGGAUGUUUAAGCGAGGUUCUCGAACUGCUAGUGACUGAUCUUCGGUGAGGUCGCAGUGUGGGAAGUGAACCUAGCUUUGGUGUCUAGAGGAAGUAAAAGUCGUAACA
rnacentral:rRNA from 1 species